rnacentral:rRNA from 1 species
GAUGAACGCUAGCUCCAGGCUUAACACAUGCAAGUCGAGGGGAAACGACAUCGAAAGCUUGCUUUUGAUGGGCGUCGACCGGCGCACGGGUGAGUAACGCGUAUCCAACCUGCCCACCACUUGGGGAUAACCUUGCGAAAGUAAGACUAAUACCCAAUGAUAUCCCACGAAGACAUCUGAAUGGGAUUAAAGAUUUAUCGGUGAUGGAUGGGGAUGCGUCUGAUUAGCUUGUUGGCGGGGUAACGGCCCACCAAGGCAACGAUCAGUAGGGGUUCUGAGAGGAAGGUCCCCCACAUUGGAACUGAGACACGGUCCAAACUCCUAUGGGAGGCAGCAGUGAGGAAUAUGGGUCAAUGGGCGAGAGCCUGAACCAGCCAAGUAGCGUGCAGGAAGACGGCCCUAUGGGUUGUAAACUGCUUUUAUAAGGGAAUAAAGUGGGUCACGUGUGACUUUUUGCAUGUACCUUAUGAAUAAGGACCGGCUAAUUCCGU